CGNGAAGUAGCUCAGCUUGGUAGAGCACUUGGUUUGGGACCAAGGGGUCGCAGGUUCGAAUCCUGUCUUCCCGA
rnacentral:tRNA from 1 species